rnacentral:rRNA from 1 species
GCGUGUGUGAAGAAGGCCUGCGGGUUGUAAAGCACUUUCAAUUGGGAAGAAAAGCUUGGGGCUAAUACCCUCGAGUCUUGACGUUACCUUUAGAAGAAGCACCGGCUAACUCCGUGCCAGCAGCCGCGGUAAUACGGAGGGUGCAAGCGUUAAUCGGAAUUACUGGGCGUAAAGCGCGCGUAGGUGGUUUGGUCAGUCAGAUGUGAAAGCCCUGGGCUUAACCUGGGAAUUGCAUUUGAUACUGCCAGACUAGAGUAUGGUAGAGGGAAGUGGAAUUCCGGGUGUAGCGGUGAAAUGCGU